GGGCUGCUCGCCCCGCCCCCGCGCGGCGCUGGGAGGCGGGAGCUGUCUCUGAGAACCUGCGGGAGAGCGCCCGGGCUUGCUGCUUCCCGGACCCGCGCGUCUCUCGAGCACCCUCGUCCCACCACCUUGUGAGGCCGUAGUGUUAUUUUUAUUUUUUAGAUCAGCAGACUGAGACUCGAGGUGACGUCACUCCGCAGAGAGGUUAGAGCACAGCAGACUGAGCCACCCAGAACUGGCCCCUCCGGUGGACCAGCCCCUGCGGAUUCACAGACCACUGGUCCUGGAAGGGACCUUGUCAAGCAGGCCCAUAAGGUAAUCCCUCCCCGGAAAGAGAAGAUCACAGAUUUUGUCAUAUUAAAUACAUUGUAGAAAUUCAUGGUAGCAGGGGCAAGAUCAUUUAAACAAAACAGAAAGUUUCAGAGAGAGAAAAAGCCAAGGACAAAGAUUAAUCAUUUUUCUGCUUAAAAAAAAUGGCUUUGAUUUGCAACCAUGGAAUGCUCCACUGUUUCUCUUCUCUUCAAAGACAUCUACUGAAAGGAUUCCUUAACCUUACCAAGUGGCCAAAAUACUUUUCUGAGAAGAGUCACAGAGCAUAGGCCCCCCUAGGGUACACAGAGAUUUCAUUAGUCCCUAGAUGUUUCCUGAUCCUUUUAAAAACUGGUUAAAUUCAGAGACUCUAGGCAAUUACUUCUUUCAGAACCUGUGAGGCAAAAACGAAAGAAGAAGGCAGGACACGCAGUGUAACAAACCUUGGAAUGGACUUCGCCAGACUUCAUCAGAAGAAAGCAGUGCAAGAGGGGACUGCAGAGGAAAGCUGGGGCUUGGGAAACCAGCAGCAGGGGCCACGUGGGCAGGUGGUUUCUGUGUGAACCUCUGAUCUGUGCAACAUAAACAGGAAAUGUUGAAGGCUUCCAGUGCUCUUUUUUGAUGUCGAGAACAUUCUACGGCACAAAAGAGUUUGCCUCUCACUGUUUCUCAUAUAUGGAGGUUUUCUAAUCAGCAUCCUGAACAGAAUUGAAUUAAAAAUAAAAACCAAAGUAAAACUAGCUUUAUCUCUAGAUUUUAAAAUUUUCAUUUUUUUUAGGGUGGCACCUAUACUGUUACCUUGUAGGUACCAACUAGAAUAUUCUUUCUAACUGCCUGUCAUUCAUGGUUUACCUACUUGGAAGCUUAACCCUGUCCAAGACUGGACCCUAGUCAACACAAAUUUUAUCUUAAUUUUAUGAAGGUCUUUCCCACCCCUAAUAUUCUGGCAUUCUUAAAUAUGCUGCUCAGCUGUGCUUGUCAAAGGCAAUUGCGUUUGCUACAUUUCAGAAGAGAGUCCAGACAGAGCCCAUUUGGCUCUGUGCUAGGAACGGCUGCAGUGCAAGACUGUGGAGCUCUGUGGCUGACCACAGCUGAAACUCACUUUGAUCUUGCUAGAUGCCGCCAAGUUGGAAAAAAUUAACUAAGACUGCAGGGUC
rnacentral:lncRNA from 1 species